rnacentral:rRNA from 1 species
CACGUAGGGUGCGAGCGUUGUCCGGAAUUAUUGGGCGUAAAGAGCUCGUAGGCGGUGUGUCGCGUCGGCCGUGAAAACCUGCAGCUUAACUGUGGGCUUGCGGUCGAUACGGGCAUCACUGGAGUUCGGCAGGGGAGACUGGAAUUCCCGGUGUAGCGGUGAAAUGCGCGGAUAUCAGGAGGAACACCGGUGGCGAAGGCGGCAUCCUGGACCGGUAUUGACGCUGAGGCGCGAAAGCCAGGGGAGCAAACGGG